AUUGUAUAAGCAAUAGGAUGUCAACAGACAUGGAGGAAUGAUCGGCUCUGAUUUACAUUUUCAAGUGCUAACUCUGGCUGCUGGUUGGAGAAAGAACUAGAUGGGGCAAAGAGUAGGAAUGGAUAGACCAAGUAGGAGACAAAAGCAACUGUCCAGAUUAUCAGUUCCCUGAGGGCAAAGCCUCUGGAAAAUAUUACUGUUCCUCAUCACAGCCUGGAUGCCGCACACGAGAACACCCCAAAGAGACCGGCGUGUGGCCUGGAUUUGCCUAACCUUGGCUGCGACAUCAGAGCUCAGGGAUCCAGUUACAGAUCAGCCCAGAGGUCUGUUUCUGAUCAGCUCGGCAGCCAUCUGUAAUGCCUGCUAGUCAUUUAACCUGGCAGAGAGUAAGGGCCUCUCCCCCAAAUAGAGUGUAAAACCACAACCACAGCCCGCAAGACCUUGAGACGUGCAAAUCCAGCGAUUACCCAAUGGCAAGUAUGGGUGUGCUGGAAGGCAGCCUUUUCCAAGUCUUCUAAGUCCAGAAUCACUUGGAUCACAUCACACUUGCCCAAGAUGGACACAAUGGGGUGCGUGACCUUCCGACUUCAACAACCCCCACCAUUUCAGAGUCCUGAGGAUGACUUUGAAUCUGGAUGCUUCUGAGGCCUCAAAUGCUCACAUCACCUGGAGACUCUGCAAGACCAAGAAGCUGUGGGAUUGGCUGGCGGUGAUGUCACAGCCAUGCCAGCACUGCCUUCUGAGUGGCUGUCUGCCCCCUUGACUAUCCCCUACCCCAUCUUGAUUUAUACAUGAUAUCUUAUAAUAUCCAAAGCAGCGCUCAAGGAAUCUUCCUUAGCCUCAGCCUCCUACCGCCACCCCAGGCAUAUAAUAAUGUCCCAGAAAUACACAGGCUGCCAUAUCUUAUUACAUAAAUAUAGGCCUGAGAAGCUUCUUCAUGUGACAGUAGGAAGCAAGUGCCACCCAGGAAUGGCCCCGGGGAAGAGGGAGACAGAGCACUAUCAUCUCAGAGUUCUUAAGUGGAAAUAUUAUCUCCCAGCAUCGUUCCAAUUAAAAUUGGAAAAUUUGGGGGCCCCCCCCUCCCCUUUCCGAUAUGUUGGGGCAGGAACACAGGGAAGGAUAUGCACCCAGAAGUCCUGCUUUGUUCCCUGGCUCUGCUGGGCAUUUCAGUGUGUUGAGAAGGUCACUGUCUUCUGAGUUGUGGUUUCCUCCUCUCUAGAAUGAGGGGAAACGGUACAACCUGCCAGGUGAAUUUUUGACGGAAUGAAAGGACACCACAGGUGUGAAAAUGUGAAAAUACAAACUACAGCUACACAAAUUUUAUUUCAUAAUCAUCAUAACAACAGUGAUAAUAAUGAUAAAUUUCCAUGCCUCUUGA